CCUACGGGUGGCAGCAGUCGAGAAUCAUUCACAAUGGGGGAAACCCUGAUGGUGCGACGCCGCGUGGGGGAAUGAAGGUCUUCGGAUUGUAAACCCCUGUCAUGUGGGAGCAAAUUAAAAAGAUAGUACCACCAGCGGAAGAGCCGGCUAACUCUGUGCCAGCAGCCGCGGUAAUGCAGAGGUCGCAAGCGUUGUUCGGAAUCACUGGGCGUAAAGCGUGCGUAGGCUGUGUCGUAAGGCGUGUGUGAAAGGCGCGGGCUCAACCCGCGGACGGCACAUGAGACUGCGAGACUAGAGUAAUGGAGGGGGAACCGGAAUUCUCGGUGUAGCAGUGAAAUGCGUAGAUAUCGAGAGGAACACUCGUGGCGAAGGCGGGUUCCUGGACAUUAACUGACGCUGAGGCACGAAGGCCAGGGGAGCGAAAGGGAUUAGAUACCCCUGUAGUC
rnacentral:rRNA from 1 species